UGUGUGUGUGUGUGUGUGUGUGUGUGUGUGUCUGUGUGUGUAAAUAUAAGAUGUUAUGAAAAGAGGGAAAAAUAAUUGUCGGAGCAUGUAAACCCCAUAAUGAAUCUUCAAGACCUGCAUGCCAACUCUUGGUGCAUGGGAGCCCUGGCGUCUGUGCCCCAUAUGGCGGAAUGUCACGCACGAUCUUAUGGUUCGGGAGAGUGCUGUUGGCCCGAUGGAGAGACGCUUUGUAUGCAGCCUGGCGAAACGUGGCGCUAUACUGGGUUGCCUGCUGGCGAAGGGUUCGCUCGGUGUCUGCUACCUGGAGCUGGUGUCAACCACUGUGCACUGAACCUUGUGCAAUGGCUCUGGAUGAAAAUGACGGGCCGAGUGCUGUGCUUCAACAGGGUGUGGGUGUGGAGCGGACCUAGAUGAACUGGAGAGCCUGAAGAUCAUCAUGAAGUUUGCCUGUGGUCUAGUACAGAAAUGUCCCCUGCCUUUUCCUCCCAUCACUACUGCGGAUGGGUCAGAUGAGGCCAUUUUAUGCAGACAGUGUUGGAAACUUUGCUGAUGCUGUAGUGACUUGACUUAACUCUUUCUGAUACAAAAGAGGAGACAUCAUUCAUUCAAAAUGGUGAGUAAAGUUAUCUGGAACAUUUCUGCAAGAGGCUCAGUAAUUCUGCAUGAUACAUUUUGCUUCUUUUAUUAAAUACAAUUUAUUCUGACUUCCUUUUUUUAUCUCCUCAUCAUGACAGCGGAUACGAGAUUUACAAGCCUGCAACACUGCAGCACAUUGCAGAACAGUGUAAGUCACAUCUAAAUUAUUGUUUGUCAUAGAAGUCUAUGAACCUGACCAUGAGUUUAUCUGCUGAGGAACUUCAAUCUGAUUGCAUGCUUUUUAUUUUUCUGCUGAGCCGAACCUCAUUAUAGCUGGGAAGUAGAAUUAGUUUCCAACAUGUCAGAGGCCAGCACAGCUUCUGCAGCAUGUGUGACCCCUCGACAAUCACAGAUUACCUGGAAAACCGAUAACGAGGGAUACAUAAAUGUUGAAACGGCAGCACUGGACAGAAUUGUUACGGCCUAUCAAGAACCUUUUAAGAGAGUGCAGGAAUGUGUGGAAUGGUCUGUGCUACUCCAGGAUUGCUUAUGCAUUCAGGAGGACCUAAAAAUGUCUACAGUUUAUGCACUGGCAUCACACUGUCCAUCUGACACACUCCCCUGCAUUGGCUUAAUGACUGAAAUGCUACAGGCGUUACCGAUUCCUCAAGCACACAUCCCAGAGAGCAGAUGCUAAACUGUCAGGGGGCCUUUUGUUAAGGACACAUAUAAACAGCCAGGGGCACCUGCUGAGCGUUAUCACAGAGUUGAACAGAAUUUAUGGAGGCUG